UGGGAGGGAGAGGAAACUGGGAUUGACAUGUAAAACAAUCUUGUUUCUUAUUCAAAUAAAAAAUGGAGGAAAAAGUAUAAAAGAAAAAAGUGAACUUUCAUAUGCUUAAUUAUUGAAGUGAAAGCUUUUAGUUUGCACCAUUAAAUAUAUUUAUUGAGGAUUAUGGAGUAGAUAAACACAUUAUUUUAUUCUUGUGUAAUAGAUUGACUUUUGAAAACUAGUCAUUUAAAAAGUGCUUGUGAGAAAAACUGAUAAUUGCAAAUACAAGGUUUAUAGCGAAAAAAAUCUAAAAAAUAAAUAAAAAAUAAAAACUAUUGCUGAUGUUCAAGCAUAUGCCAUAUUCCUUCUGUUCAAGUUAUGUUUUCAUUGUUGUGAUAAGAACUACGACCAAAAGCAACUUGGGGAGAAAAAGAUUUAUUUAUUUUUUUUUAUUAAAACUUAGUUUAUCAUGAAGGGAAGUCAGGGCAGGACCUCAAGGCUGGAAACUGGAGGCAGGAACUGAAACAGAGAUUAUGGAGGAUGCCUGCUUACUGGCUUGCUCCCCAUGGCAUGGCAUGCUCAACUUUCUUAUACCACACAGGAUCACCUGCCCUGGGUUGGCCCUGCCCACAAUUGGCUGGGUGCUUCCAAAUAAAUCACUAAUCAAGGGAAUACCCUGCAGACUUGCCUGCAGGUAGUCUGAUUGAGGCUUUUUCUCAGUUGAGGUUUCUAUUCCCAGAUAACUGACUAGCUUGUGUGGAGUUGACAAAAUACUAACCAGCACACCUGCUCUAUAAAAAGCUGGUAGUAGGUUCCUAUGAUCCCAGUGCUGUAGAGGUGGAGACAGAUUCCUGGGGCUCACUUGACAGCUAGCCGCAACAUUAGUGAACCCAAGGUCCCCAGUGAGAGAACCUGCCUUAAAAACCAGGUAGAUGACUCUUGAGGUUAGCAUCUAGCCACCACAUGCUUGUGUGCACACACUUGCACGCAAACAUGAAAGCAUACGCUAAUGACAACAGUGGCGUGUUUCGAUUUCUGUAGUGUUUUCUAAAGGAGUGAAAGAAUAAUAGAAUAUGACACAAACAACUCAAAAGAACAGCUAAAAGCAAGACAUAGGAAAACAACCAAUAGAAACAAAGAGGAAACGAGUUUGAUAGCCGAAGCAGCCAUCCCUACAUCGAGCACAUGUGAACUAAGUUUAAAGACCGUGUUAGUCUGGAUAAAGAACCAGACAGAAUGAUGCUACCAACACCAAUUUAAUGUAAGGGUACAGAAAAAAGGGUGAGGAAAGACCUACCAAACAAGCAAGAGCUGGACAGAAGCUGGAGUGUUCAGCACACAGGUAGACCUGGUAAGAAGCACAUAAGAACACACAGCAUGCUAGCUAACUGGGCUGCUUUGCAAGCACAGGGGAAUGCUGUCCUGUCUGGCCUCGAGCUGGUCAGAGGAGCCAGACUCAGUAUGUGGGAGAAGAGAGAGGGUGAGGCUGAAGGAGGAGCUAGUUUCCAAAACAAGCCAAUUGGUGUCAUGGUCCCUGCUCCCACUCACAGGGUGGUUCCCAGAAGUCAGUUUGGCUAUUUUUGGCAAAUCUCAUGAAGUGUUCUCUGAAGGUUUUAGUUUAGAAAAGGAUAUAGAGCAGUUGUUCUCAACCUUCCUAAUACUGCAACCCUUUAAACAGUUUCUCAUGUUGUGAUGAUCCCCAGCCAUAAAAUUAUUUUCAUUGCUAUUUUAUAACUGUAAUAUUGCCACUGUUGUCAACUGUAAUAUAAAUAUCUGAUGUGCAGGAUAUCUGAUAUGCUACCCCACAGGUUGAGAACCACUGGUAUAGAGGAUGAGAAGGAAUUCAUGCUUCUUGGGGCCUACUACGGAUUAAGCACUUAUGAGUUUGUAGGAAAAGAAAAGUUAAGUAUUAGAAAUGGCCAGGAACCGAAGAACAAAGCACAGUAAAAGGAGAGGAGGGGUUGUGAGACCCCAGAGCUUUUCCCUGGUGAAUCUGGUUCAUCACACUGGAAAGUUAGAGCACACUUGCUCUUGGGGACCCCGAUGGGAAGGAUGCUACCUUACCUUAGCACAAGAAAGCAUGUAAGAGAGGAAAUUCUUGACCUUGGUAAUAUGGUCUUGAUGUAAAACUCCAGGAAUGUUGACGACCAUGGUUGCUAGUUACACCUGUUUCUAUCGAGGUCUGAUGAGCCAGCCACCUUAGGUAAUGUGCAGAGUACCUUGCAACCGUGUUCAAUGAUAUAAACAAGUACUGUCUUCAGAAAUAGCGCCUUACCAUCAGAUUUUGGAAAGCCACCAACAGCCUUGACAAUAAUCUGUGAUUUUUGUCAGGGAGGUUCCAUGAGCCACCUAUGGCUAAUAACUCUACAAGAUGUAACUUUCCCGGCACUGAAGGUUUUGCAUGGUGGUAUAGUAUGUCUAAUUGGAGCAUCGUCUCUCCUAUUAUUUGGUGACUUCAUUUAGAUUUCUUUCAUAAGUGAAUAUAUUUUAGGAAGUUUCUAUAGUGGUAGAUCUUCUUAUGUGUAGGGACUGGUGUUGGCUCAGGUCCCCGAAGACCCUGUUCUCAGCACAAAGGAGAUUUAUUUGCACCAGAGGGAUGGGGGCAGAGAAUAAGAGACAAAGACAGGAGCUAGAGGAUAAGGGAGAGUGGGUAGGAAACAAGGGAGAGGGAAAGGGGUAUUUGUCCCAGAGAGGCAUGACAAAGGAUGGCCUCUACACAGAGAGGAACAGACAUGGCCCAUCGGCAAGUAGUGGUUUAUAUAGGUAAAAGGAGAAACCCUGCAUUAAGAUGAGGUGUUUAAUUUUAAUUGGACAUGUUAAUGAGGUGAGCCAAAAGAGGUUUUUUGAUUGCUGGACUUCAAUACUUUGAUCACUAGACCUUGAUAGUCAGUCUAGGGAGUAACCUUUUUGGAUAGCUUUAGGAAUGUAAUCUAAGGGUUUUUAGUAAGGCUGAGGUAUUAGGGGAGAAGGGCAAGGAAGGCCUGCCAGAGCCAUGUUUGCCAUGCUUGGGCUGGCCAGAGUCCCCUCGAUAUUG